ACAGUGGUGGUUCAAUGAUAGAAAUCUUGCCUUUCAUGCAGGAGACCUAGGUUCGAUUCUCCGCCAAUGUA
rnacentral:tRNA from 1 species